rnacentral:lncRNA from 1 species
GAAACUGGGGUAAUGUGUUUAGAACUUCUCAGAAGUAUGCAUUUAAAAAUCUGUUAAAAAAAAAAUUUGAAGUUAUAUAAAGAAAACUUAUUGUAACUUACUUAGUGUACUUCAGUACCUAUUUCUCCCAGUUUCUAUUUAAUGCAUCAGGUGUAAUGACUCAAGAGUUUUCAAAGCAGCAGCUCCAUGUUGGGUAUUUUAGACAUAAUAAUCUACACAACUUUCCUAAGUGGAACCUGACCUUCUCUCAAGAGUAGACAGUAGUUGUUCUACAGUGUGCUUGAAAAUGAUUGAAAUUGUUUUAAGAAUCCUUUUUUUUUUUUUGCUGAAUUUCUCUAUUUAAAUGCUAUGAACAAGUGUCUGGCUUUAGAUUAAUGAGUUAUUAAAUACAUUUUUGUAUCAAGUAACAGUAAUCUUGCUAGCAAAAUAGAUCUUGCAUAGCCACAGAACUUCUCAAUUUCUAUCAUACUGUAAUUACAAGUUGCACUUCUAAUGACUUCAGUCAAUUGGAAUGAGAAAGAAAUGUCAUGUCCAGGGCUCUUGUGUAGAGUUACAGCUGUCAAGAAUCUAACCUGGAGAGCAGAGAAUAGAAGGGGUUGUGUUUCAAAGGACCAUGGAAUCAUUAGAAUUCUUGGAGUUGGAAGGGAUCUUUAAAGGUCGUCUUGUCCAACUCUCCUCCACAAUGAACAUGGACACCACAGCUAGAUCAGGUUGCCCUGGGCCUGAUCUGGUCUUACCUUCGAAGUCUCCAGGGACAGAGCAUUCACAGCAUGUCUGGGUAACCUGUCUCAGUGCCUCACCACCAUCACUGUAAAAGACCUUUCUUAUAUCCAACUACUGAAAUCUACCCCCUUUACUCCUGAAACAAUUUACCCUUAUUUUAUCAGAACGGUUUCCAAUUUAAAGAAAAAUUUCUUGUCUCUGCUCCUAUAUAGCUCAUUUCUUUGUAAUUUCAAAGCCUUAAGUAUUAAUCAUAUCUCUAUUUGGUUGGAGUUACACAACUAAUUUCUGAAAUCUGAGCAGAGAUCACAUGUGUAUCCAGAAGGAAAUGUCUGCAUUAGGUAUUGUUUUGCUCAGAAAUGGAGCUAUUCCGUCUCUGCUCUGCAGCUACCUUUGUUUUGAAAUUCAGGGUUAAAAACCCACGCUGAACAAUGGAGGAAAAAGAAACCCACAAUCUGAUGCGUAAGAAACUGUGAAAUAAAGGCAUUUGUUAUAAAGUUGUUAUAAAGGCAUUAAUAUUGCCCUUGGAGUUAAUUAAGAAAAUUCUGUGAAUAAUUACACACCUUUUUCAGCAAUAUCCUUCAAAUCAGAGAUGGUUUCUUGUUUAUUUUUCUUUUUAAGAAUACUCUCUGAAGCAUAGGAAUACAGCAAAUAGUUUUUCCUCCACUACUGUACAUUGGCUUUCACUUUUUUCACUACGAUAUGCAGAUAUGAAAUGCAGCUAAUGCUUGCUCUGAAAGGGACGGCUCAAUAAUAUCUGAGAAAUUUACUGGCUCCAGAUGUUCUUUGCAACAACAUUAUUUCUCCUGCCUAGGGGAAAAAAAAAACAAGGAAUGAUCCAGAGGAACCGUUGUUCUUCAGAUUUUCAGUUGUUCAAUAUGAUAUGUAAUAUGAAUGGCCCCUUCUAAGGGCUCACUAAAAUAAGGAAUAGCCUUGCACAGAAGAGUUGCUGAUUAUUAUUUGAAUGAAAGCCAAGUCACAGAGGAAAAGAAAUCUAGUUAGAUAAAAUAAUUUAGAGAUUAGUACUUUUCUACAUGUACGCUCUGCUUUAAGGAUAGAAUACAUUUUGAGAAUCAUGUUUCUAGCAGAAGCCUAUGACUUUAUCAGAAUGGUUCCAAUUCUGCUCAUGUCAGAUCUUUCUACAACACUGCUGUCUGGAAACUAUAUUUGUUUUGUACAGCAAGCUAGCUUAAAAAGGCCUUUUUCAUUCCCAAGGAUCAAUAUGAGCUACUUGGUUCUUUGUAGAAUUUUUUAUGAAGUAUUCCUAACCAAGGGCUUCAAAGUACCUCUAAUUUAAACUGCUGACUUGCAACUGCGCUUGUUUUACUCGGGAAUUUUUCCUUUUUCUAACACUAUUUUUGUAGCAAAGUAAAUCUGUUCUUUCUGGAAAUAGCUGUUUAAACUUGCAGUUCUGUGCAGUUCUUCUCUUUUGCUACAUUUAAGUUAAAUCUGUAAUGUUUAUUUUGGAAAUGAGUACACAGACCUAAGCACUAUUUUUGAUGGUUAUUGAUAUCAACUUUCUUCAAACCUGAAUCAUUAAAGCCACUCCUACUUACGUUCCUUUUCCCCCUAUUAUUGUUUCUAUAAUGCUUUUUUCUUGCCAUAUGAGAAAAAUAAACAGGCAACAGAACCUCUGUUCUGCUGUUCAUAUGCUGAAUAUAUACAGUCUUUAGUCAUUAUGACUGGGAAAUAAAAUCCA